rnacentral:rRNA from 1 species
CAGUAGGGAAUCUUCCGCAAUGGACGAAAGUCUGACGGAGCAACGCCGCGUGAGUGAUGAAGGUUUUCGGAUCGUAAAGCUCUGUUGUUAGGGAAGAACAAGUGCGAGAGUAACUGCUCGCACCUUGACGGUACCUAACCAGAAAGCCACGGCUAACUACGUGCCAGCAGCCGCGGUAAUACGUAGGUGGCAAGCGUUGUCCGGAAUUAUUGGGCGUAAAGGGCUCGCAGGCGGUUUCUUAAGUCUGAUGUGAAAGCCCCCGGCUCAACCGGGGAGGGUCAUUGGAAACUGGGAAACUUGAGUGCAGAAGAGGAGAGUGGAAUUCCACGUGUAGCGGUGAAAUGCGUAGAGAUGUGGAGGAACACCAGUGGCGAAGGCGACUCUC